GAGACAGGUUGGUUUAAAAGCCUCCCAUGG
rnacentral:piRNA from 1 species